rnacentral:rRNA from 1 species
AUUGAACGUUGGCGGCAGGCCUAAUACAUGCAAGUCGAACGGUAACAGCGGAAGCUUGCUUCUGGCUGACGAGUGGCGGACGGGUGAGUAACGCGUAGGAAUCUGCCUGGUAGUGGGGGACAACCCGGGGAAACUCGGGCUAAUACCGCAUACGCCCUACGGGGAAAGCGGGGAGUCUUCGGACCUCGCGCUAUCAGAGGAGCCUGCGUCGGAUUAGCUUGUUGGUGAGGUAAUGGCUCACCAAGGCGACGAUCCGUAGCUGGUCUUAGAGGAUGAUCAGCCACACUGGGACUGAGACACGGCCCAGACUCCUACGGGAGGCAGCAGUAGGGAAUCUUGGGCAAUGGGCGAAAGCCUGACCCAGCCAUGCCGCGUGUGUGAAGAAGGCCUUCGG